AGGCAUUAGAGAGAACAAAUAACUGAACACAUCCGUAUCAGCAAUGCUUGUAAUUCAACUGAAAUGCUGCCACGUGGUACUGUUUUCAAUACCAGGCCUAAGUGUGACAUUGUAGGCAAGGUCCCCAUCACGGCCGCCGCCCUGCAGACAGCACUUAAGAGAAGCAAUGGCGUCUAAGACACCCCUCACCUUCACAGAACUGGAGUCAAAACAGCACCAGGGCCUGGAACAGACUCUGACGCAGCUGUCAGGUGGUCUUCAGCCCCCGGAGCACCAGCCUCUGCAGCCGGUGAUUCUUUGGAAAAGAAAUCCCUUUCCCGAAUUCUCCAGCCCAGCCGCCGGCUUCGGCUUGGGUCUGCCAUUUUCAGUCUCAUCAACAGUUCCUGUCACGGCGUGUGUGUGGUACUGUUUGACAAACCUGGAUCCACACCUACCGCUGGAGAGUCAGCAGCAUCACCUCGAUGGCUACUCACUCGCUUCACCUUCCGAGGAGCAGCUGUGUCUGGUGCUGGUUACCGCCUGCCACAGCUGCUGGGCUUCUAGCCGGCAGCCUCCCACGGGGGGUCAGAGGCCCGGCAGCCUCCCACGGGGGGUCAGAGGCGCUUCCCCGGCCGGAUGCAGGCACAGGCUGAGUGCUUGCCACCGAGAUAAUGGCCACAUCAUCAGGCGACUGUGCUGGUACGCCUCACAGUCUCCCAAGUUCUGGUUUUACCAGUAGGAUCCAUGUAAGUUGUUUUUCACAAACUCCUCUGAAAUCACAGACCGUUUGGUAUUUUGAGAAGAACCCGUGGAUGCUUGGCCGGGUCUUGUACUAGUCCUCAGGCAAGACAUGGUUGCCUCUGCCAGGCAGUCUUGAGCCAAAGUGUCCUUUCCUGGGGCACCUCCGUCAGGACCCGGCCAGCUGACCUGCCCAGAUGCACAGCUCAGCACGGCCCUCAGGUGACCUCGUUCCUUCAUGCAUCAGAGCCAUGGACACAACCAGGAGGCAGAGGGAGUCGGGCUUUCUCAAUUCUUCGGUGGCUGUGGAACCACAACCCCCCAUAGAACGCCAGCGCCGUGAGGGCAAUGAUUGAUUGUCGUCUGCUUGUUCUCCGCGGAACCCCAGGGCCCAGGGCGGUGCUUGGCACUUAGCAGGUACGCAGUGCGCUUCAUCGGAUGAAUGGGCUGGAAGCAGGAGGCUGCAGAAUAUCCAGCCUCACGACUGCACAAAACCACCU